AUUGAACGCUGGCGGCAUGCCUUACACAUGCAAGUCGAACGGCAGCGCGGGGCAACCUGGCGGCGAGUGGCGAACGGGUGAGUAAUAUAAUCGGAACGUGCCCUGGAGUGGGGAUAACGUAGCGAAAGUUACGCUGAUACCGCAUACGAUCUAAGGAUGAAAGUGGGGGAUCGCAAGACCUCAUGCUCCUGGAGCGGCCGAUAUCUGAUUAGCUAGUUGGUGGGUAAAAGCCUACCAAGGCGACGAUCAGUAGCUGGUCUGAGAGGACGACCAGCCACACUGGAACUGAGACACGGUCCAGACUCCUACGGAGGCAGCAGUGGGGAAUUUUGGACAAUGGGGGCAACCCUGAUCCAGCAAUGCCGCGUGUGUA
rnacentral:rRNA from 1 species